rnacentral:rRNA from 1 species
AUUGAACGCUGGCGGCAUGCCUUACACAUGCAAGUCGAACGGCAGCACGGGAGCAAUCCUGGUGGCGAGUGGCGAACGGGUGAGUAAAGUAUCGGAACGUGCCCAGUCGUGGGGGAUAACGUAGCGAAAGUUACGCUAAUACCGCAUACGAUCUAUGGAUGAAAGCGGGGGAUCGCAAGACCUCGCGCGAUUGGAGCGGCCGAUAUCAGAUUAGGUAGUUGGUGGGGUAAAGGCUCACCAAGCCGACGAUCUGUAGCUGGUCUGAGAGGACGACCAGCAACACUGGGACUGAGGCACGGCCCAGACUCCUACGGGAGGCAGCAGUGGGGAAGUUUGGACAAUGGGCGAAAGCCUGAUCCAGCCAUGCCGCGUGCAGGAUGAAGGCCUUCGGGUUGUAAACUGCUUUUGUACGGAACGAAAAGGUUUGGCCUAAUAAGCUGAGCUCAUGACGGUACCGUAAGAAUAAGCACCGGCUAACUACGUGCCAGCCGCCGCCGUAA